rnacentral:rRNA from 1 species
CCUACGGGGGGCUGCAGUAAGGAAUAUUGGUCAAUGGAGGAAACUCUGAACCAGCCAUCCCGCGUGAAGGAUGAAGGGGCUCUGCCUUGUAAACUUCUUUUGUCUGGGGCGAAAAAGCUCGAUUUAUCGAGAACUGACGGUACCAGAAGAAUAAGCACCGGCUAACUCCGUGACAGCAGCCGCGGUACUACGGAGGGUGCAAGCGUUAUCCGGAAUAACGGGGUCGUAAGGGUGUUAAGGCGGCUUUGGUGAAAGGCUGUGGCUUAACCAUGGAAUUGCCAUUGAUACUGCAGAGCUUGAAGGAGGUUGAGGUUGGCGGAAUGUGACAUGUAGCGGUGAAAUGCUUAGAUAUGUCAUGGAACACCGAUUGCGAAGGCAGCUGACUGGACCUAUAUUGACGCUGAGGCACGAAAGCGUGGGGAGCGAACAGGAUUAGAUACCCCGGUAGUC